GGUUGGGGGUCACAGGGCAGCCCCGCAGGUGUGGGGCUGGCAGGGGGGCACCGGGCCCGGGACACCACGCCAAGCGGUGCAGCGCUUUGCCCACCCCUGUGCUGGGGCUGAGCGUGAGGCCCUGCCCAUCCUCGUGGGUGCCACGUCCCUGAGGGAGCUGCCCGGGGCGGCCCGGGGGAUGCUGCAGGAUGCCUUGGGCCAGCAGCUCGGGCACAGACUGACUCCAGCCCCUGGGCACUGGGUUUCCAGUAGCCCCAGGCCCCAAAGCAGGAGGCAGCGGGCACUGUGCCCGCCUGGGGCUGUGGUUCUCCUUCCUCCCCUGCUCUUCCUGUGUUGGGGAGGCUGCUUCUCCCUGUGUAGCGGCAGUCACAUCUGACAGCAUCUGCCCUUUCCCAGUUGCCGAGCCCAGGGUGGCAGAGGCACGCGGGUGGGAGAACAGCAGUGUGCUCUCUGCAGACCCGCAGCCCUGCUUGCUGUGCUGGGGGAGUCCCACAUUCUGCCCCCACCGUGGGGCAACAGCCCCAGCCAUAGGUAGAUAACACUGGGGCUGUGUCUCCAGCUGUUUGCCCUCCCUCAUCUCUCUUCUCCACCCUGCAGGGCCCGGCUGUGUCAGACGGAGAAUUAAAUGCCUCCAGAGCCCGAGGCAGCAACCACAGCGUGAACAGCCUGCCUGCUGUGCAGUCCCUCAGCAGCUCUACACACAGCUCUGUUGUCAGCUGGGCCGAGUCCUUUGAGACACUGCUGCAGGAUCGUGUGGCUGUCACCUACUUCACUGUG
rnacentral:lncRNA from 1 species